UACGAAGGGUGCAAGCGUUAAUCGGAAUUACUGGGCGUAAAGGGAGCGUAGGCGGACAGUUUAGUCAGAGGUGAAAGCCCAGGGCUCAACCCUGGAAUUGCCUUUGAUACUGACUGUCUUGAGUGUGGGAGAGGUGUGUGGAACUCCGAGUGUAGAGGUGAAAUUCGUAGAUAUUCGGAAGAACACCAGUGGCGAAGGCGACACACUGGCCCAUUACUGACGCUGAGGCUCGAAAGCGUGGGGAGCAAACAGG
rnacentral:rRNA from 1 species